UACAUGCCUGAGUUUUGCAGAGCAGAGCUGUAAGUGAGAGGGUGGGAUUUACAGCAAAGAGAUUAAAGGAAUUUGAAUUCUCAGGUGUUCGGGCUCAAGAGCCAGGUGGGACAGCACUUUCUAAAACUGGUAGGACAGACUCAGUUUUCUCUUGCAGAAAUAGUGAAGACUUCAUGUGGUGCCAGAGCCAGCUAGCUCUUCCACAGCACCUCACCAGGAGUGGGACACACCUCAGAAGCAGGGUGAUGCAUUUUAGAUGCUCUAUGGCACAGUUUGGUCAUCAAGUGCAAGUGGAGAAAGCCAUCUCCUUAAAAAAUAUGAAAACCAUUGGCAUUUAGUCCUGAUAUAAAGAAGAACUUAUAUUUGUGUAGCUUUGGUAAAUACCACUGAAUCUGAAUGCCAGUCCCCACCUGUCACUCUCAAGACACAGUUUAGGAACAUCCUGCAUCCCUGAAACACCUACUUCACUCUCUCUACUAUCAAAAUAACACUAUGCGGUUUGAGGUUACCUAGAUGAUGACACCUCAUGGCUAGACAGCCAAAAAGGUGCAGCAGACCUGGAGUGAUAACAUUCACUAUGAAGAUAACUGCAGCUUGUCCUGGAAAGGCAGAAUUUUAAGUGCAAACCCACUUACAUCUGCAAGAGAAAUGAGGAACCAACUUCACAGUACUCAGAAGACCAGAUAAGAAAAAUGAAGGAUCCAUGCUGAGAAUACUAAAAAGAAAGGACAUGUAACAGUUACGCUCCUUUGAGAGAUUAUCUGUGCCAUCUUUUUGUGUUAACUAUGCCCUCCAGAUGAGGUGUCCAGCACAUAAGAGAACACUCAGUACUUCUGCACAUCAGAAUCCUGCUACUCGUGCACAGAGCAAGCAGUGACAUCACUCAAAACAAGCCAAAACUGCAAGGUCGUAAUUCACAGAGGUGUGGGCCAGGGAGAACUGAAGAAGAGAAUCAGUUCAGGGAAGAAAGCAAGAAAACAAAAAGAAGAGACCUCAUCACAGUCAACUGCUUCCUCAAGAGGGGAAGCAAAGAGGCAGACGCUGAUCUCUGUGGUGACCGGUGACAGGACCCAAGGGACUGGCCUGAGCUUGUUUCAGGGGAAGUUUAGGUUGGGUAUUAGAAAAAGUUUCUUCACCCAGAGGGUGUUUGGUCACUGGAACAGACUCCCCAUGGAAGUGGUCGCAGCACCAGCGUGACAGAAUUCAAGAGGCGUUUGGCCAAAGCUCUCAGGUACAUGGUGUGAUUCUUGGGGAUGGUCCUGUGCAGAGCCAGGAGUUGGACCUGAUGAUCUUUGUGGUCUCUUCCAACUCAGAAUAUUCUGAGAUACAAUGGUUGUAAUUGUUGGCAGAGACAGAGAAAACAGAAGGAAAUCUAUUAUACACUUACCUUGGCUACUCAUCUAGUCCCUACUGUAAUCACAUCAGAAAUGCACUACUGGACUGGGACACGUAGGAGAAGCACCCUCCUCUGCAGACCUCUGGGGUCAGAGAGAGCAGAGUGGGAGACAGAGGCACAACUGGCUGGAGAUGGUGAGCCUGAGGAUAUGGACUGCUGUUGAAGCAAGGGAGCACACUUCAAGUUGUUGGAAACCUUUUUGAUGUGUGCCCAAGAGCGUUCCCUUGGCAGCACCGUUUGUGGCUAUGCAAGGAGCUGAGCUAAGCCUGUGAUAUCAGCUCCUGGCCAACCACAGGCUCCUUCAGAGACGUAAGAUUCAUCUUUUUGCAAGGAGGAUAGCCCAUCCCCUGCAGAAGCACGGUCUCAAGGGACAUGACACACUGCUUUUAUCUCCAGCUACCCAGUCUCUGGACCUUGAAAGUUUUCACUGCAGUGAUUCCAGUGAAGCAAGUCUUAGGUGAGGUUAUCCACAUCACAGAUGAUUCAGACACACAAAAUGCAGAACAACCCUCUCCAAAACAUCCAAGGCCUGAGGCUUGAGGAUGAGAAAUUCGCUUCAUGUGGUAAUAUUGUAAAACACAGGAAAAAUAAUAUUGCUAUAAUAAGCUACUGGAAAUGGUCCUAAUAUCUUAUAGGUAGAUGAAGAUAUUUGCCAGCUUUGUCACUGCCUGGGGAUGACACAGAAUCACUGCUGGAAUUUGCUCAGUAUGCAUUCAUGGUUUCUUGCCCUUUCACAGUCCAUGCUCAGAUGGGCCAAACAGCGCUGUCAGGGACUUCUGCAAACAUGUGUCUUCCAGGAAUCUGCACUUGUAAUGUAUUCCUCUCAGUGGCUUCAAAAAUAGCAUUCUGAUAUUUGAGUUGAGGAAAAAUGAGGAAGAAUCCAUAGAAAUUAGCAACAAAUUGGUAAUACAGACCAGCCUCUUUAAAUGUUGAUAAUAAUAGUAAUACAUAAUAGUGUAAUCCCAAGUAGAGCAAAAAGAAUUGUGAGUAGGGCAAAUGCAUCUCAGGGCACAUAGCAAACACUGGCUGGCUGUGCUUACAGAGGUUGUUAAAUACUCCUGAGUUUUUAAGAUACAGUUCUCAGUUUCACUCCAAAGACCUGGCUGAGCUCAAAUGCAAAAAAUAGUUUGAUGCUCCUUUGGAAGACUGAAUAGCAAUAAUCCACCAUGGCAUUUACACAGUGCUUCUCUCUUUGCUGUUUUACAGACAUCAUUCAAUCAAUUCUUGUGUCUCUCCAGGGAAUUAAAAUAUGCGUUUCAGGGAUGAGGAAACUGAGGAAGAGGAGCUAAACACCUUUGCAUGGUUCACAGGGAUUUGGUCACAGCAGAAGUUGUUGGAUUCAGGAGGCUACACCACCCCCAUCUGCACCUACACCACAAGCCCACACUUUCUCCUUUUGGUAUUACUGCAAUACAAAUGCUUCCUUUCUCUUAUGUGCUUGCCAAGAUCUGGAGCAGAAGCGUCAUAUUCUCAACUAUGCCAGUGGAUGUGGUCAUUCCAUUGUCAAGUUCUUUUCCCUCAUGCCCUGGAGAGAACUGAACAAGCAACUGGGUGUCGUCUUGGCUGCUGGGAUCAACCCACCUGACACUGCCACAGAAGCUGAUAGAGGGAUAUAAGGGACAGUUUUGGCACACCUAUGUUUGCCAUCUGAAUCCUUGGAAAGACACUCCAUAUCUUUCUUUAAAUAUCUCCAUGGAUGGUGACUUUUGUCUGGGCAGCCUGUUCCAAUGCUUGACAAAAAUCAUGUCAUACGAAGGUACUAAAACCGUCAUUGUAACUCGAGCUAAGUCUGGACUCCUGCUCCAGGUCAGAUCCACCUUGUAGCAGAUAAGCAGACUGGGAAAUUCCUGUCAUCUUCUACCUCUAAACAAGUUAUCCAUUUCAUUUAGGGGUAAAAGCAGACCUUGCAAACAUCAACUGUAUUCUUAAAGCCCACUUGGAGCAAACAAUUAAUAGAGAUGGCUAAUCCUGAUUCUAUUAGAAAUAUGGAUAGAGUUUUAGGAAGUUUGGACAAAUUUUCUCCAAGCUAUGUAGUGGAUAGAUGCACCUUAAAAAAAAAUAAAUCUACUAAUAAAGCCUAAGCAAGACAGCUUCCUGAAGGACAGUUCUCACCCACUUGGGGGCUGAUGGGGUCGUGCUCAUUUCUCUCCAGCCAAGUCCAGCCUUGGACACUCAGUUGUAGCAAACAAGAGGAGAGCAGACUCUUUCCAUUGGUGUCUAGUGACAAGAGAAGGGACAAUGAUUACAAACUGGAGUUUCCCUCUGAACAUCAGGAAACAUAUUUUUAAUAUGAGGUUCACCCAGCACUGGCACUGGGCUGUCCAGGCAUCUUCUGCAGUCUUCCUCCCUGGAGAUGUUCAAAAGCCACUUGUACAGGGUCCUGGGCAACUGGCUGUAGAUGGCUCUGCUUGAGCAGAGCGUUUGGAGCAGGUAACCUCCAGAGGUUUUAUCAACAGCAGCCAUAAUGUCAUUCUGUAAUUUUCAAGAGCAGCCAGUGCCCAGAGGGGCUUAUGAAUGUCACAGUUACAUCUACAGCUGCUAAUUCUUCACCUCCUCUCUGGGAUGCAGCCAAAUCUCCUCUCUAGUGAUAGCAGCCAAAACUAUGGCCUGGGAAUAUAGUGAAACAUGGCCAAAUUACCUGGGCUUGGCUUUACUGGCAACUAAACAGACAAAAGAGGAUUGAUCAUACCCUGUCUUUUCUUAUAUUCAGGGGGCUUCACCUCUAUUUAACCCUACUGCAGGUCUCCCAUGUGCAGGACAAACUCCAGGAAAGCUGCAGAGUGACAGUCUACCAGUGCUUGCCAGCAAUUCCAUUUGACAGCAUGUAAGCACAAGAUAUUGAAAACGGAGUGGGGAGUAAUGCUGCAUCUCAGCACAGGCUCCCAGGCACUGUCCUCUCAAACAGACAGUUGUAAAAACUCUGGGGUUUUGGGAUUAACUCUUUAGAGAUGCUUAUUAAACAGAACAGAUUAAAGCAGGUAUUGUUCUUAGUCCAACCUUUAUUAUGUUUACAUAAUGCUAAGUCAGAUGUGCUUGUUAAUCACUUUCAGUAGCAUUAACUUUUUUGACAUUGUA